GAGUUUGAUCCUGGCUCAGGACGAACGCUGGCGGCGUGCUUAACACAUGCAAGUCGAACGGAAAGGCCCCGCUCGCGGGGUACUCGAGUGGCGAACGGGUGAGUAACACGUGGGUGAUCUGCCCUGCACUUCGGGAUAAGCCUGGGAAACUGGGUCUAAUACCGGAUAUGACCUCCCUUUAGUGUGGGGGGUGGAAAGAUUUAUCGGUGCAGGAUGAGCCCGCGGCCUAUCAGCUUGUUGGUGGGGUAAUGGCCUACCAAGGCGUCGACGGGUAGCCGGCCUGAGAGGGUGGACGGCCACAUUGGGACUGAGAUACGGCCCAGACUCCUACGGGAGGCAGCAGUGGGGAAUAUUGCACAAUGGGCGGAAGCCUGAUGCAGCGACGCCGCGUGGGGGAUGACGGCCUUCGGGUUGUAAACCUCUUUCGACAGGGACGAAGUGAAAAUGACGGUACCUGUAUAAGAAGCACCGGCUAACUACGUGCCAGCAGCCGCGGUAAUACGUAGGGUGCGAGCGUUGUCCGGAAUUACUGGGCGUAAAGAGCUCGUAGGUGGUUUGUCACGUCGUCUGUGAAAUUCCGGGGCUUAACCUCGGGCGUGCAGGCGAUACGGGCAAUACUUGAGUGCUGUACGGGAGACUGGAAUUCCUGNUGUAGCGGUGAAAUGCGCAGAUAUCAGGAGGAACACCAAUGGCGAAGGCAGGUCUCUGGGCAGUUACUGACGCUGAGGAGCGAAAGCAUGGGUAGCGAACAGGAUUAGAUACCCUGGUAGUCCAUGCCGUAAACGGUGGGCGCUAGGUGUAGGGGACUUCCACGUUCUCUGUGCCGUAGCUAACGCAUUAAGCGCCCCGCCUGGGGAGUACGGCCGCAAGGCUAAAACUCAAAGGAAUUGACGGGGGCCCGCACAAGCGGCGGAGCAUGUGGAUUAAUUCGAUGCAACGCGAAGAACCUUACCUGGGCUUGACAUACACCGGACCGGCGUAGAGAUACGUCUUCCCUUGUGGCCGGUGUACAGGUGGUGCAUGGUUGUCGUCAGCUCGUGUCGUGAGAUGUUGGGUUAAGUCCCGCAACGAGCGCAACCCUUGUCUUAUGUUGCCAGCACGUGAUGGUGGGGACUCAUGAGAGACUGCCGGGGUCAACUCGGAGGAAGGUGGGGAUGACGUCAAAUCAUCAUGCCCCUUAUGUCAGGGCUUCACACAUGCUACAAUGGUCGGUACAGCAGGUCGCGAACUCGUGAGAGUAAGCCAAUCCUUCAAAGCCGGCCUCAGUUCGGAUUGGGGUCUGCAACUCGACCCCAUGAAGUCGGAGUCGCUAGUAAUCGCAGAUCAGCAACGCUGCGGUGAAUACGUUCC
rnacentral:rRNA from 1 species